GGGGGCGUGGCGAAGCUGGUUAUCGCGCCGGCCUGUCAAGCCGGAAGCCGCGGGUUCAAGUCCCGUCGCUCCCG
rnacentral:tRNA from 1 species